rnacentral:rRNA from 1 species
AUACGUAAGGGGCAAGCGUUAUCCGGAUUUACUGGGUGUAAAGGGAGCGUAGACGGAAGGCCAAGUCUGAUGUGAAAGCCCGCGGCUCAACUGCGGGACUGCAUUGGAAACUGGUCAUCUGGAGUGCAGGAGGGGUAAGCGGAAUUCCUAGUGUAGCGGUGAAAUGCGUAGAUAUUAGGAGGAACACCGGUGGCGAAGGCGGUUUAGUGGAAUGUAAGUGACAGUGAGGCUCGAAAGCGUGGGGAGCAAACAGGAUUAGAUCCCCUGGUAGUCCACGCCGUAAACGAUGAAUACUAGGUGUCGGGUUUCUAUAGAGAUUCGGUGCCGCAGCAAACGCAAUAAGUAUUCCACCUGGGGAGUACGUUCGCAAGAAUGAAACUCAAAUGAAUUGACGG